GCCGGUCAUACAAUACGCAGCAGCAGCGCCGAGCGAGAAUCUUUGGGAAGAGUUUCCAUAGAAACACUGACGUCCUCCUGGCGAACAGGACACCGAGUUCUUUCAAUGGGAGGUAUGGGGUUUUAAAGGAGCAGUUGGGUGGCAGGGAGCCAGGCAGGCAGAGCCAUGACUCUGCAUCUCCCAGCAGAACAGGGGGGCUGCAGCGGGUGGGAGAAAAAUCACCGACGACCCUCAUGUGAGCAAAAUGUCAGAUCUGAUGGCUGCUGCUGAGCUCCGCUGCGUGCAGCUUGGCAACUAAUUAAACCACCGGGCACAGAGUGCACAGGAGCUGGGAGCAGGGGGCAGAAAUACCAGGCUGAGAAAUACCUGCUCCUAAAACUUUGUUGGGUUUUGUCACUGAUUUGCUCCCUGGAAGCCUUGAACUGAACACAGGGGCUGCGACACCGCUGAGCCCCCGGGCCGGGCAGGGUGCACCCCGCAGUGUGCCCUCAGCUCCAGCUCUGCUUGGAACGAGACAAGUGCUUGGCUGACGUUCCAGCUCCACGUUUUAAAUAGCCACACGUCUGCCCGCUGUGCAGUGGCAGAGCAGCCCUGUCUGGAAGAGGCUGUUUCUAGAAGGAAAACAGUCAGAGGAAAUGUUUUUGCCAGAAAUGCUAGAAAUGGUACAAAACCAAACGGGAACGUGCAAAAACUCCCCACUGAACGCGGUGCGUGUUGGGCAGGAAUGCUUUGCUUCAGAGCAAUGCCCAGGUGAGACGAGAGAGGGCACAGAGCUCCUGCCCACAGGGCAAGGCGUGCGCCGCUGCUGGCACCGGGCUGGGCUCCCCAGGGCUGCUGUCCCCAUCCCUCUGCCCAAGGCUGGGGCCCACCUCGCUGCUGGCCUCACAGCUCGGCUCCCAGCUGGGUAUCUCCUUCACAGGUCAGACCACCCUGGGGGCAGCCCCACACACCUCUGUUACCCUUACGUGUGCAGCUCUCUCUGGGCUGUGUGUGGCAUUCCAAAAUAGCUGCUGGGUUUGCAUGCCUCUGCUGCUGUGUGUCUCCUGGCUGAGCACACAAAGCAUCCACAACUCCAUCACUGCAUGUCAGGAGCCUCAGCUAUUCUGCCCCAGUGCUGGGGAUGUGCUCAGGUUGUUUCAAAGGAUGAUGGCAGGAAUUGCCUUCAAGGAAACAGGAGAAGAGGAAAAAGCAGACCUCCACCUUUAAUGGUACCUAUCUCUUUUGGCCAUUUGUCUCACUAUUUUGCUGCAGACUCAGAAAUGCUUUAUCUUAUUUUGUAGAUAGGAAAACAGUGCCUAUGCAGGACAGUGGCAGUUCUCUGAGGACAUCCCCAGAACAUGGGCACAAUGACCGAGUUCUGUGCUCUGCACACAGGACAUUCUUGUAGAGGUGUUGGGGAUAAGGACCAAUUUAGGAUUAAAGAGACACUUUAGUUCAGCACUUCAUCCUUACUUACAGUCAGGUGAAUGUGAAGGCUCAUUAUGCCUUCUCGAUUAACAUAAUUCCAUACGGUGUUCAGUCAGAGGGUGAUGAACUCGAUUUAAAUGCAUGGCUCGGUUGGCUCUGCAUGCAGCGGGAAGGGCAGGGCCAGCCUGCAGCACAGCGGUGCGACCGCCCGGGGCACGGCCAGCAUGCAGCCAGGGGAGCUCAGUGCCCAGGGACACCUCCCUCUGCAGGGCCCGCACAAAACAGAGCACUCCGCUGGGAUUAAUUUAGGGAGAAACAGUUAAAGCAGGAGGACACAGCUGGUCUGACUGCCUCUGUGGCCUCCGAGCACUUUUCUGUGGUACUUCUGCAAGAGCGAGCAAUAGAUCGAAUGAGCUACUUGACCGAUGUUAAACCACCGUCAGAGCCGUUCUGGAAUUCUUCUAAGGCAGAUCUUGCAGCUCCCCUUGUGCCACAGGUGCCAUCUCUUCCAGGCUCUGAAAUCCAGAGGUGUUGGACGUAUGUGUGGUACCGGGGCCGUACCAUUGGGUGCGGGGAAUCCCACCGGAAUGAGACCAACCCGUGCUGCGGGCAGACAGACCUGCAGGCUGCGGCACAGCAGUGCCCCGCUCCUCCUCCCAGAGCUGAGCCUGGCCCAGCACGGAGCAGCGCGUUCCCUGUGCUGCAUCACUCCAGCCUCCUUUCCUGCAGAUCCCGCUUCUUUUUCACAUCAGCGCUGAUCCUCAAUGUAGGACACAGAUGCUCAAUCCUGCCUUCUGGGCUUUCAUCCAUCGGCUUUGCAAAGUUUUGGUGAUACAACAGUAAUAGGAAGCUGCUUGUGCUUCAUGGCACGGCAUGGGGAAAGCCUUUCCAAAGGGUUAUUCGUUCCUUAUGCCAUCUGAAAAUGAAGUAGUGAGAAACGAAUGCACGCUCCGUCCUUCAGAACAGUGCUGGGCCCUCCGACGCAGUGCAGCAAGCUGGUUUAACACCGAUGUUUGGUAAAGAUGACUGAAAUGUGCUGAGCGAGGAGUGCUCCGCUGCCGGCACAACAGAGGUCCCCAGCACACAGAGCAGGGCACGAAGGAGGAAGGCAUUCUGCCGAAGACAAUUUGAUGCCAAAAACGAAGCAGGGCCAUAACAAUUACAGCCACCUAGUGGGCAAAGGUUUGUUUUGUCUCAUUUUUGCAUCCGCUUUUACUAUUUUUCAUGAAUACAUAAAAUGUGAGAUAUUUUCCUUCUGGCGCUGUCGGCACAGUCAGGUCCCACCCUGCACCGCUGCUCUGACUCGGCCGUGCUGGGCUGUCUGGUGAGCUACUGCUGCAGCCAGAGGGGCAGCCCUGCUGCUUUAGCAGAUCUCCUUUCUGUGAGCAGCUCGUUAGAUCUGGAGGUUACGUCUGUGACAACACAACCUUUAAGUUCAGUGGAUGGUGAGGAGCCAGCGAGGCUCCCAGCAGCCCCAGCAAGUGCUCCAUCCGCUGCUCUGCACAGAUCCCUUUGGCUCCUGAUGUUCUCCAUCACUUCAUGAGCUCUUCAGGCGUUGCAGGGUAUUUCGUGUUCGGGUUUCUACUGACAAAGAAAUUGGAAACAUAUGGGCUGAAACGAUGAACUUCAGAUCUGAAUUCCAGCAACUCCAAAGCAUCUCGAUUUAGCCCAUAAAAAAUCCACACUGAGGGUUCGCAACGGCUUUUGGAUCCACCUCGGAGAGAGGGAAAAGCUCCUCUGUGAGGUUCGCUCUUUUAGAAGUGGGGUUUUCUGUUGUUUUUUCUUUUAAACUCCACUUGUACUCAGGAUUUUAAAACCGUAUUUACAGAACAAACCUCUGCACAACCUGCCCAGGCUUCGGGUCGCAUGCGGCGGAGCAGAAUAGCAGACCGUGGGAUUUUUAACCCUAUGAUGAGCUGUGAAUUUUGGAGAUCCUCCUUGGCGUGCGUUCAAGCCAGCCUUAAUGAGAAACGCCCCAUGCCAACCUCAUGACUCAGCCCAACCGGCAGCUUCUGACACCCAUCCCAAAAGUCGUUGGCCUUCCCUGGGAAGAAAACAAGGCUGCCCCUCCCUUCCUUCCUGCAGCCGCACGGGCUGCUGCUAAGCCAGUGCAUCUUUUGUAUCAGCAGGAUUAGACGUUGGUCUUGUGCCUACAGACUAUGAGACGAGCUGGUGGCCGUGGUUCCUCCCGCCUCACAGCCCCGCUGCGCUGAGCGGCUCCGCUGUGCCACCCCGCUCUGUGCUCAGGCAUGGGAGGUUUGUGCAGCCAGCGUGCAAAAUCCUCCUGCAGCUCCGGUGCAAAUCUUUGUGAAGACAGCUACGCAUCAAAUAUAUCGUGAUGUUGCUUCUAAAUCCUAUAUUAUAUUUGUAGGAGGUACAUACCUACGUACUCUCUGUAUUAUUUAUACGGUGUAUGAAUACCCGAGCAGCUGCUACCCAGAGCCAAUGUCUGCAAUGGGAAAUGCUGCUCAAAUACUGCUGGAAUGCUGGGGUAAUCCUCGCCCUGUGCCCACUGCACGGCCCCACGGGGAGAGGCAGCGGCGACGGGCAGCGGCUCAGCUCUGCCACUGCGAAUUUCUUGACCUCUAACACUUUGUUUUGUUUUUAUUAUCAUUUUUUAAUCUCAGCCUUUUCCAUGCAUGGGCUGCGCAGCACAGAGCGCCAUAAAAAAUCGCAGAUAGAGACAGAGCCAGAUCUGUGAUGCAGUUACCAGUACUUCAUUAACCUUUAUCUUGACAAGUGGAAAUAACGUGCUGUGAUUCAGGGUAAAUUUUUCACUUGCAGAGAAAAAAUGGUGCCAAAAGGAAGCAAACAAGCUAGACAUGAACCAAUAGAAGUCUUGAUAGAAGAAAACAGCAGGGCCGGGCUGGCUGGGCACACUGCUGCUGUGCUCCUAUGUGCUCUGGGUGCCAUCGGCACAGGCACACAACCCCCCGAGCCCCAGCAAAGCGCGCCCUGGCGGGAUGGAGUUCAGCCCGGCCUCUGUUCUGCUGCAGCCUGCGGUGGCCGGCAGGGUCCCCCAGAGGAGAUGGCAAAGCCAAUGAGUAAUAAGGAGAACUGAUGUUUUUCCAAGCAGAAACCAGCCUGACUCACCACUAUUUUGUUUCUUUUAUUGUUAUUUGUAUUGCUCUGAUGCCAGACAUCAGAUCUCAGUUAUUGAGCCCAGGAUUUUAUCACCAUAUAACAGGAGAAAGUGCCCUCUGAAAUGCUUCCAAACUAAAUCAAUAGGAGGGAAAAAAAGGAAAAAAGCAGAGCAGCUUGCUGCAAUCCAGGGCAGAGCACUUCUCGACACCCGGCUGCUGAGCUUGUCAUGAAGUCAGUGUCUGCUCCUGGCAGGGCUGCCACCAAAGAGGCUCUCCGGAGCUCAUAGAGUUCUCCACAUUGCACAUACUGCCCUGCCCUCUGCAGCUACCUAACGGACUCAGGGAUGCAUGAGGCUGAAGGCAGAGCAGGGACAUCUGCCUACAAAGCCCCCAGAACAGCAGUAAUUGCCCAUUAGCAGAGCGACCCAGGAGGCUGCAUGGUGAUGUCUGUGGCACUUCUGUGAGCUCCCAGUAGGGAGAUGUGCUUGGCCAAUUCUGCUCGGGGAAGGUGGACAGCAGCAGGGCUGCAUGAUGGACAGAUGGACGGACGGACGGAUGGAUGCAACUGUGGGAUCUCUGCUCCUCUCCUUCCUGCACUGUUUGCAUGAAUCCUUCCAAAGCUUUUUGGGUGCUUUUUUCUCCCUCCAAGCGGAGGAAACGUGCAUGCUUUUGGUUUUCUUACCCCCCAUUAAUUUCCUCAGUUCUGAAGCAGAACGGAUCUAAUUAUCCAGACAAAUAGAACAGCUUUGAAAAAUGGCCUGUUCUUUGGUACACCUGGCAUCUGGAGUUGGUAAAAACUCAGGAACUUCUCAAAUGCUCCUUGUGGUUGAGAGGAAGGGAGGGUGAUAUUUAGUCAAUGAUCUUUGCCCUCAUUUUUAAGGAAAAAAACAACAACCCAUCAAUUCUGCUGCUGGCAAUUGCAAAAGCAGUUAGGCUGAGCUCUCUCUUAAAUGAACAAACACUUACGGAUCUAUUUAUACCUGCCCUGAAGCAGACUGCUGUAGGUGGAAAUGCUGUAAUUAUUUCCUCUCCCUGCUUUCCACUGUCCUAUAAAGAUCUCCUGGAGCAGCUUGUUAACAACUCACCGCUGCACAUGGGUGAAAUUGGAAUGGAACCCACCUUAGCAACAAGCCCAGUUUGGCUCCAGCUGCGGAGAACAGCUCUGACAAAGGUGAGAUGUGUGGAGCUGCUAUGAGACGGCUCCUGCUGCUUAGCCCCAUCUAUCUCAGAAGGCAGAGAAUUACAAAUUAGGAGCCUGGUUGGCAGCUGAGGGGGGACAGGGACUUGACCGGCACUCGGGGGAUGCAACAACACUGUUUUCCUGUGUGCUUCUUUUCCCAUCAGCGCGUGUUUUCAAAUUCUUUUCCCUCCCUGAAGAGUCUCUCUCUGUGAUUAUCUUCCUGCUUUUCUCCCUCCUCUUCCCUGGGUUUAUUUCUCAGGGCAGAUGAUCUCUACCUGCCACUCAGGUUAACUCUGGUUUCAGUAUCAAAGAUCAUUUAAGCUGAAAAUAGCUUUUAAAUGGGUCCACAUCCCAGCCCAGGGGUGCGUGGUCAGCAGCCCUCAGCUCCAUCCAGCAUGCAGGGCUCGGAGCACUCCCUCACCGCGGCCGCAGCCGCCUCACUCCGUGUCAGGGAGAGAGGGUGAUGGCCUUGAGCACAGCUGGUUGGGGACCAGGUGGGAGGAGCUGAUGAAGCAGGAAAAAAGCCACGAACACUCAGCAGGGCAGCCGGCUCCGUACGUUUUGAUUUUCAUGAAAAGGAAAACGAUGUCUUUAAGGGCCCAUAGAUUUUUAUCACUGUGUUGCUAUGGGUUAUUGGGAAAUGGCUAGUGGUGAUAUUUAAUAUACAGAGUCCAAAUUACUCAGUGGUAUGAAAUAAGUCCUGUGCUGUUAGAACACGAAGCCUUGCCCUUCAGUUCAAAGCAACACAGCAUGAUGCUCCUGGGGCAGGAGGGUGGGUGCUGCACGUCCCACUGCUGGGAACUCCUGCCUGCCUGGGGGCAGCGGGGGGUGGGCUGUGGGUUCCCAACAGCUGGCGCUUCUGUGAGCGGAGCAGCUGUGCUGAGCAUCUCCCUGACCCUAAAUGUGUAACAGCAUUGUUGCUUUGGGAAGGUUAUCACAGAAUCACGGAACCAUUAAGGUCCCACCGCCAUACUGAGGGUACAUCACCAUCACAUGUGGACGAGUCCCAUGGAGGCAGUCCUAACAGAGAUGUCACAAUCCACACUACGAUUCAAACCCGAGCAGAUGCAAAAAAGGCAGCAGUUCGGUGAAGUCACUGCGGCGUAUUUCGGAAGAUGUGCCAGAUGGCUGCCAGAGUCUUUUAAACCCUGACUUCUCUUCUGAGCCAGCCAUAUUAUCAUCCAUCAGACGGUCUCUUUGGGCUGACAUUGCAGUGCGUGUCUGUCUCUUUUAGGUUUGCCUUGCUCCUGUUUAUUUCUAGCUGAUUUAUUUAUAUCUGGAACCGAUACAAGUGGCACCAUUUCUUUGUUUCAUUAAAAGAUUCCUUGAUCUAAAUUUUAAA
ensembl:lncRNA